GCUUCUGUCAGCUACUCACGCCAGAUCGUCGUGGUUUCACCCUGCACGUAUCCAGCCUCUGUUACCUGUCUGUUUCCCGUAUUACCUGUCUGCCUGCCUGCCUGUUGACGACCCUGCGUUCCGGAACCUGGAUAUUCGCCUCUGCUCGUUCCCUCACUGGUAACUCUGCCUCCGCUAAUAUUUGGACCCCCUGUAUGUUUGACCCCUGGACUGCUCUCUGGAAUCUCCCUUUAGAUCACGGACUUGGUUUUUGCUGCUCAUCGGAAGACACGGAUGCACCUGCCGCUGUCUUCCACCACCCGGACUCUCUGAUCACCGUCAGUUUCUAUAUUACCUUGCUAUUCGUCAGUCUGUUAAAUAAACCUCCAUUACCUAUCCCUGGGUUUUCUGAUAAUUUAUGAGUCCUCCUUGCUGGUACGUGACAGUACGAUCUGGCCAAACCAUGGACUCGUCAGAUCUCAGGGAUAGGUGCGCCAUUACACAAUCCGUUCUGAACUACCG